rnacentral:rRNA from 1 species
AAGGGAACAGUCCGAAAUUAUCCUAUCUUAUAUAGUAGAAUGUUCUGGAAAGUACAACAAUAUAGAGUGAAAGUCUCGUAUACUAAAAUAAGUAGUAAUCUUUAAGUAGUAAGCAGUAAAGAGUAUGAUAUAAAAGAAAAAAAAAGAUAAUUUCAUAGAGUAAAACGAGACACGUGAUAUCUUGUUUGAAGAAAGGGGGACCACCCUCUAAGACUAAAUACUCUUGAUUGACCGAUAGCGAACUAGUACCGUGAGGGAAAGGUGAAAAGAACCCCUGGUAGGGGAGUGAAAUAGAACCUGAAACCAUAUAUGUACAAGCAGUGGAAGCUUUUUUUUAACAAGCAACUGCGUACCUUUUGUAUAAUGGGUCAGCGACUUGUAUAUUGUAGCAAGGUUAACUUUUUUUAAUAUAAGGUAGCCGUAGGGAAACCGAGUCUUAACAAGGCGUUUUAAGUUGCAGUAUACAGACCCGAAACCUGGUGAUCUAGCCAUGAGCAGGUUGAAAAUUAGAUAAAACUAAUUGGAGGACCGAACUGACUAAUGUUGCAAAAUUAGCGGAUGACUUGUGGCUAGGGGUGAAAGGCCAAUCAAACCAGGAGAUAGCUGGUUCUCCUCGAAAGCUAUUUAGGUAGCGCCUCAUAAUAUCAUCUUUAGGGGUAGAGCACUGUUUCGGUUAGGGAAUCAUACCGGUUUACCAAGUCGAUACAAACUCCGAAUACUAAAGAAUGUAAAUAUGGGAGACACACGGCGGGUGCUAACGUCCGUCGUGGAAAGGGAAACAACCCAGACCGUCAGCUAAGGUCCCAAAAUCACAAUUAAGUGGAAAACGAUGUGGGAGGGCAUAAACAGCCCAGGAUGGUUGGCUUAGAAGCAGCCACCAUUUAAAGAAAGCGUAAUAGCUCACUGGUCGAGUCAACCUGCGCGGAAGAUUUAACGGGGCUCAAAUUGUGUACCGAAGCUACGGCAACAAUUUUAUUAUAUUGUUGGGUAGAGGAGCGUUCUGUAAGCUGUAGAAGAUAUAUUGGGAAAUAUAUUGGAGGUAUCAGAAGUGCGAAUGCUGACAUGAGUAACGAUAAAGCGGGUUAAAAACCUGCUCGCCGAAAGACUAAGGUUUCCUGCCCUACGUUAAUCGAGGCAGGGUAAGUCGAUUCCUAAGAUCAGGCCGAAAGGCGUAGUCGAUGGGCAACAGGUUAAGAUUCCUGUACUUAAUAUGAUUUUAAGGAGUGACGGAGAAGAUUAAGUUGGCCAAGAGAGCGAUAUAUUGGUUCAAACAUUUAGAUGGAAUAUUAUUAAAAAUAAUAUUCAUACAUUGACGUGUUAAGAUUAUGAAAUUGUAAGAAAAUAACUGACUUCAUGCUCACAAGAAAAACUUCUACUUAGAGAAACAAAAAAAUUAUAUUAAAUCGUACCUCAAACCGACACAGGUAGUCAGGUAGAAAAUACUAAGGCGCUUGAGAGAACUAAGGUGAAGGAACUAGGCAAAAUGGUGCCGUAACUUCGGAAGAAGGCACGCUAAUAAGUAGGUUGGCUAUUAUUUUUCUUAAUAGUUGGCCGAUAUUAGCUUCAAUAAAUAGCUGGCUGCAACUGUUUACUAAAAACAUAGCACUGUGCAAACACGAAAGUGGAGGUAUACGGUGUGACGCCUGCCCGGUGCCGGAAGGUUAAUUGAUAGAGUAACAAUUAAAUUGAAGCUCUUGAUCGAAGCCCCGGUAAACGGCGGCCGUAACUAUAACGGUCCUAAG